AGGUUAUACAAUUAAUAUAAUUGAGAUUGAUCCUGUCUCUUAUAUAAACAGUUAAUUAUUAAAUAAUAUUAAAUACAAGUUUUUGCGGGGGCUAAUACUUGUCUUAAAGAUAGGUUUAUAAUUUAAUUGUAGUUUUUUUUAUUAAGUAUUAUAUAGGUAUAUACUUAGUUAAUUUAAAAAGGGUUGUAUAAGGUUGUGCCAGCAUACGCGGUUACA
rnacentral:rRNA from 1 species